AUUGAACGCUGGCGGCAGGCCUAACACAUGCAAGUCGAACGAGUGGCGGACGGGUGAGUAAUGUCUGGGAAACUGCCUGAUGGAGGGGGAUAACUACUGGAAACGGUAGCUAAUACCGCAUACCAUCGGAUGUGCCUAGUUGGGAUUAGCUAGUAGGUGGGGUAACGGCUCACCUAGGCGACGAUCCCUAGCGGGUCUGAGAGGAUGACCAGCCAAACGGGAACUGAGACACGCUCCAGACUCCUACGGGAGGCAGCAGUGGGGAAUAUUGCACAAUGGGCGAAAGCCUGAUGCAGCCAUGCCGCGUGGAUGAAGAAGGCCUUCGGGUUGUAAAGUACUUUCAGCGGGGAGGCGUUACCCGAAGAAGAAGCACCGGCUAACUCCGUGCCAGCAGCCGCGGUAAUUC
rnacentral:rRNA from 1 species